GAGAGCCGUGUGCAUCGAAAGGUGCAAGCACUGGUUCGGGAAGGGGCGGAUGAAAACGUACCGCAAGGCAACGCGUCAGCCGCCUACUUCAC
rfam:Ktedonobacter racemifer DSM 44963 strain SOSP1-21 Krac_Contig202, whole genome shotgun sequence.